UACGGAAGGCAGCAGUGGGGAAUAUUGCACAAUGGGCGCAAGCCUGAUGCAGCCAUGCCGCGUGUAUGAAGAAGGCCUUCGGGUUGUAAAGUACUUUCAGUCGUGAGGAAGGUGUUAAGGUUAAUAACCUUAGCAAUUGACGUUAGCGACAGAAGAAGCACCGGCUAACUCCGUGCCAGCAGCCGCGGUAAUACGGAGGGUGCGAGCGUUAAUCGGAAUUACUGGGCGUAAAGGGCACGCAGGCGGUUAAUUAAGUUGGAUGUGAAAUCCCCGGGCUUAACCUGGGAAUGGCAUUCAAGACUGGUUAGCUAGAGUCUUGUAGAGGGGGUAGAAUUCCAUGUGUAGCGGUGAAAUGCGUAGAGAUGUGGAGGAAUACCGGUGGCGAAGGCGGCCCCUGGACAAGACUGACGCUCAUGUGCGAAAGCGUGGGGAGCGAAAC
rnacentral:rRNA from 1 species